CUUCAAUCAAAUGAAAGCUAAGGUAGUAGUAGUACAUUGAGUGGGUGCGCUUGGUGUUGACGCUAGUUGUUGUGGUACAUUUUCUAGGAAAGUGUCAGAGUCUGUGUAUAUAUAUGUAUAUG